UACGGGGGGGCGAAGCGUUGUUCGGAAUUACUGGGCGUAAAGGGCUCGUAGGCGGCCAACUAAGUCAGACGUGAAAUCCCCCAGGCUCAACCUGGGAACUGCAUCCGAUACUGGAUGGCUUGAAUUCGGGAGAGGGAUGCAGAAUUCCAGGUGUAGCGGUGAAAUGCGUAGAUAUCUGGAGGAAUACCGGUGGCGAAGGCGGCAUCCUGGACCGACAUUGACGCUGAGGAGCGAAAGCCAGGGGAGCAACGGGG
rnacentral:rRNA from 1 species